AGUCUCGCCAAACCGGUUCAUCUCCCACUAGACCGCCGGGCGAAAGAGAGAGGAGACGAGGAGAAGGAAAUGGCCGCUCGCUCCUCGCGGCUUCUCUCCUCCCUCCGCCGCAGCAACGGCGGAGCAAAGGCCACCUCCACCGCCCUGCCUUCGCUGCAACGCUCGAUUUUUUCUGGAUCUCCAACGCCGGGAGUAUCCUAUUGGUUGCCGAGGAGUCAGAGCAAGUGGAGGAUCCUGCCUGCUUCGCCAAAUCGCUCGCCGCCGCCGUUUGAGUUUGUCAAGAGGAGGAUUGUUGCUCUCGGAAGAUGCUUUGGAAAGAAAUCUUUAUCCAGCAGCGUAUUCGGAUUGGCAUUUGUUAGUGCAAUGAUAAACCGCCAAGCCUCUACAUUACAUGCUUUUGAUGUAAAGUAGCAGAUUUUAUAGAUGACGAAGUAGAGUUAGCAGCACCUUCAGGACGACCAAAAGACACACUGCAUCCCUUCUACACGAUUGUAAGAAAAUUUCAGCUGCCUGCCGUUCUUGUCAUGACAGUGCUGUUGGGAUGGAGACAUCCGCUCACACUUUUCAUAAAUGUAGCUCUUCUCCUGUUUAGUUCACGGCCAAACCCUUUGUCAAUUUAUAUGUUUCUCGAGCAGUUACAUCAGAGAGAUAAUCAAAAUACUAUAUGGCCGAGAUCAAAGUAUGGAUACAAGAACAUCAAGGUGGAAGAUUACAAGAUUUUGUGUUAUGCGACGGUCGAACUGAGGGAUACAAAGCUGAGCAUGCUUGGAAUUUUAGGAGGAUGGUGGGUUGUACAUGCAUCAAGGUCUUAGGACGAAAGAGUUUAAAAUGAUCUUCCUUUCUUUGGUUCUCUUUCCGAUUGAAGAGUUUAAGAUGAUAAAUGGACAUUCAAAUUUAAGGACCUGCUCCGAGAAGUUAGGCGACAUUCAUCCCAAGUUUCAACUUCAUUUGGGGAUUGUUAGAGUUGUAAAGGAUAAGAAGUGCCCCAUUGGCAAGCUUAUGUAUGAUGCACAAACAAACUAAGAAUUAGUUAUCUUUAAAUAAAUGAUGUAAUGGAAAAGGAGGAUCUCCUUAGCUAUCGGUUGCUGAUGAACAUGGCAGCUCAGAGCAUGGCAGAUCAAAUGCAGCCAUUGCCCGAGUGCUUGCUUCCCUGCAGCCGUUGAGCA